ACGUGAGCAACCUGCCCAGAAGUAGGGGAUAGCCCACCGAAAGGUGGAUUAAUACCGUAUGUGACGGCCGGAGGAUUCUCCGGCUCAUUAAAGGUGGGGAUCCCUCGGGACCUGCCGCUUCUGGAUGGGCUCGCGGCCUAUCAGCUUGUUGGUGAGGUAACGGCUCACCAAGGCUACGACGGGUAGCUGGUCUGAGAGGAUGAUCAGUCACACUGGAACUGAGACACGGUCCAGACUCCUACGGGAGGCAGCAGUGGGGAAUAUUGCACAAUGGGGGAAACCCUGAUGCAGCCAUGCCGC
rnacentral:rRNA from 1 species